UGGGGAAUUUUGGACAAUGGGCGAAAGCCUGAUCCAGCAAUGCCGCGUGUGUGAAGAAGGCCUUCGGGUUGUAAAGCACUUUUGUCCGGAAAGAAAUCCUUGGCUCUAAUACAGUCGGGGGAUGACGGUACCGGAAGAAUAAGCACCGGCUAACUACGUGCCAGCAGCCGCGGUAAUACGUAGGGUGCAAGCGUUAAUCGGAAUUACUGGGCGUAAAGCGUGCGCAGGCGGUUUGCUAAGACCGAUGUGAAAUUCCCCGGGCUCAACCUGGGAACUGCAUUGGUGACUGGCAGGCUAGAGUAUGGCAGAGGGGGGUAGAAUUCCACGUGUAGCAGUGAAAUGCGUAGAGAUGUGGAGGAAUACCGAUGGCGAAGGCAGCCCCCUGGGCCAAUACUGACGCUCAUGCACGAAAGCGUGGGGAGCAAAACAGGAUUAGAUACCCUGGUAGUCCACGCCCUAAAACGAUGUCAACUAGUUGUUGGGGAUUCAUUUCCUUAGUAACGUAGCUAACGCGUGAAGUUGACCGCCUGGGGGAGUACGGUCGC
rnacentral:rRNA from 1 species